rnacentral:snRNA from 1 species
AUCGCUUCUCGGCCUUUUGGCUAAGAUCAAGUGUAGUAUCUGUUCUUAUCAGUUUAAUGUCUGAUACGUCCUCUAUCCGAGGACAAUAUAUGAAAUGG